UCUUUGCAACAUUUUUCACUGCUUUUAGGUAGCUCUUUCUAGGUGAUUCUCCUGGAGAGGUCUCUUGCCUCUUGAUUUUUACAUUAACAAAUGAGUUCUCAGAGCCAUCAAUGUCCAUAUCAAGGUAAUAUGUGAUAAAGUGGUCAUGGAUUACACCAAUGAUGUUUUCGCUCAAAAGGGUUCCAAAUAGAUAUUCUUGGUUGGGAAUUUGGCUCAUAUUGUCAUAAGUGGUUCCUUUCACCAUCAAGAUACCACUUAAUCCGACCUGUGUAAGAAAGAAUCCUAGAUAUCAGUACAAAUUAUUGAAUACAAUAAUAGAAAACAAGUGACAUCAAUCUAAAAAAAUCCAUCCUUGCCAUAAUCAAUAGUGCAAGGCUGCAAACUGUUCAUUUUUCUACUACAUGACAAUUUAUUAUGCAAACUGUUGUUCAUGUAGGACAAAUUAUUAAAUAAUUAUUGUGCAUACAAAUAUGCUUCACAAACUAUGGUGCCUCUAAAUACUUUAUAAGUAAUAUUAUGAUAGGUAACUGUUAGUGAGAUAGGUUCCUUACAUGCAUAUUUCCUUCCACACAUUACUAAUAGGAGACCCAAACAACUGCUGAAACUAUGGAGCUAACCACUGUUAUGGGUAUUGAAGAAGAGCCAUGGGACCCCAAAGGAUAUUUUUAUCCUUCAUUUGUGUUAUGCUCAACACAUUUUAAGCAGUGGGACCCGGUCACCUGGGCAGGAAAAUGUUUUAUGCUGAGUGCUAGCACAAGCUAUUCACCUUGAGGACAAAGUGAAAUUUCAGGGAUGGAGUAUUGAUAGGUAACUGUUAGUGAGAGUUAGAGAGUUUGUCAGCUUGUAUAGGGAGUUAGUUAGAAAUAAGAGGGAGAAAGUUUAGAGAGGACUAUCUUUUGUUUUGGAAAGGGUUAAGAGUGGGACAGAACCAGGUCUCUCGAAUACCUGGCUGUAUCAAGAAUUUUCUUGUGAAUAAACACAUUUUCUUGCUAUACUCUGAUCCAGUUUCCAUCAUACUAUCAUAGGUUGAUUUUUAGUUUGUGAUGCACAGCUGUGUACAAGCAUGCAAAAACCUCUUCUGUUACUAGGAAUAUCAAUCUCAACACAUCCUGUUGAGGCAGCUGUUAUUGUUAUAAACAUCAGUAUUUUGAUAUUUAAUUUAUAUUAUUACUUUAUUUUGUUGUACUUUGUUUCCUAUGACUUCAAUUAUGGUAAAUCGUUAGGUAAAGUAACCAUCACUAGAUGGCAGAACACCUUACCUGUUCUGUGUAAGCUGGCUUUAUGUAUUGUAUCAGAAAUGUUAUUGCUGAAUGAAACUUCUUACAUUUCUGAACUGCUCAUUGUGCUAUCAAUUCCCUAAACAAGAAAAUUCAAACUAAGUUGAAUUGCCAUCACUAACCUUUGCUCUGAUUAGCCCAUCAGUUUGAAAUUCCCAGUCCAUGAUAUAGUCAUAGUUCCCCAAUGAUACUGCCAUUCUAACCACUAGCGUCACCUUUGGCCUAACUUCUGUAACCUACCAUAACAGCAUAAUUUCAAAGUUGAAGUAUGUAUCGAAAUGAAAAUGAAAAUGAAAAAUCUCUGCAUAUUCAGAUUGACAAGUUAAAGUUAAAAUCUUUCUUUGGAACCUAGGUAAAGGACUUAAAUUUUCUAAAAUAAGCCAUUGUUUAAGAUAUCAAGGGAUUCCUAGCUUGUUAUAUAUGUGCAAAUGUAUAGAUCAAUCAAUGACUAUAAGCCCUCAAUUUUCCAUCUAAAAUGAAUGUUUCAGUUAGAGUACCAGAUUAAGGUUCAUAAUGAACUAGUAACAAGAGACCUAUCAACACUUCUAACUUCAUGACUCCAUAAUUAAAUACUAGCAGUAUGUGGUUAAUUUUGAUAAUGAGCUCUCAUGUUGGCAUGAGUGGAAUUCUUACCGUCAAGUCAGUGAUGGGACACUCAGUAUGGCGCCACGCAACGUCACCAGCAUAUCUCUCAAAAAUGCAAAUCACAUUGGGUUGGACAUAGGGUGUUCCAUCACCAGAGGCAAACACAGCAUCCAUGUAGUAGGCAUUUCUUGGGCAAUCAUUCAAGGGAUCUAAAGGCAUUGCACUGAACCCCAUUCCAUACUCUCCCCCAUCCAUGUAUGUCUUAAAGUACCACCCAUCAGUAGGAUCCAUGUAAGGCACGAAUAGCUCAGAUGUGAACCCUUUGUACAUGACAUUUCUCAGCUUUAAUGUGUCUGGGUCUCUCACCUUUGCUUGAGAAAUGAUGGUCCCAGCUCUUGGGUCAGGUUUCACAUGAAAUUCCCAGUUAGCCCAUUUAACUAAGUUCCCCUCAACUGUGAAGCUUGGACCUUUUGGUUGUUCCAAGGAUAUUGGAUUUACUAGCUUAAACUCUCCAUUGAGCUUCUGAAUGGAGUAACGAUAGUCAGUGUUAAUGCCUUUGGCCACAGGAAUAUUCUUGCCAUUUUCUGAAAUGGAUACCACCUCUUUUCUGUCCAUGUCAACCAGCACAACUACCCCCUCAAUGGGUUUCAUGUAGAAGUUCACAGUGCCCUCUUUGGAAAAACACUGCACCUUUAUAAAUCUAGUAUUUUCUUCCACUGGUGUCCCAUACCACCCUGAAGAAACUGGCAGACAUAUAAGAUCUGCCAUAUUGACACCACGUUGACUUAUUGUACGGUUGAAUUCCUUGUUCUUCAAGGGAACCUCCAGUACCCCCAACAACUCCUCCAGGGCCAUGAUGGGGUAUCCAGAAACCGUCUUUGUUUCAUGGCUGGUCACCGUGCUUGUGCUUAGGUCUAUGAUGAGUGUGUGAAUGACACCCUUCACAACUGCAAUCACAGAAGCUUUCCUUGGUGGGAGUGGAUCACCUUUCUCCCAUUUGAGGACAACUUUUUGGCCGGGUCUUCGAGGACAAUGAAGUUGAGUGUGUAGCUGGAUGAGGACUUGAAUAGAGGGUGAGUGGAGAGGAUAGUGCGAACCUUGUUGAAUUCUUGGACAGUUAGAGGGUCCAGAGGGUGGUGAGGAACAUCAGAUUCAUGGUUUUGAUGGUUUUUGGUGAAUAAUGUUGGUUUCUUGAUCACAUUAGGUUCUGUUGAAGAAUGGAUGCGGUUCUUUGACGUGCACCAUCCAGAGUAAAGAUUGCAGUCUAGAGCUUCCUUGUUGGUGAAUGAUGGAAGGUGAAGCCGAGCUAUGAGCAAAACUAGUACUGCACUGAUUGACAGAACCAAGAAGCGCAACAAGUUUCUAGCAUCCAUGGAUAUCACUCUAUUACUUGUUUUUUCAGUAAAAGUUAUUCAGAGAGAGUAUAUAAACCACUAACUGAGAUUAAAAUAUACAAGUUUUCAUUCAUGACCGCAAGUUAAAGAUGAGAACAGAGGGAAGGACUACGGUUUCAUUGUUGAUUAACCAAAUCGUCACCUCUUUGACUUUCUUGGCUUUAGUUAUAUGUCCAUUAAUUACCAGAGGCCUAUUUCUCUAUUAUUGCACAGAAAAGUCCAAGCAUUUGCAACAUUGUUUACAGCCAGUUACUGUCCAGUGACGUGUUAACUCACCAGAAUCAAAUGAAAAUGUAGAAAUCCACUCUUUGCUCACACAAGCAGUCCGCAAUUUUAAAGCAAAUAUGACUUGUUCAAUUCUAGUGGUUCAUAUUUCAUAAUUCCUACUAAAAUCUAUUUGGAUUGGUAACUAGGUCCACUCUUCUUGUUCUCUAGCUGACACGUGAGUUUGGCUGUACUGAAGUUCAGAAAUUCUAAUGUCUUGUUAUGAUUAAAAAAACUCUCCAAAUGAUAAGGUCUCCAUCUUUUGUGAAUGCCUGGACUUUACAAGUAUCCUUACGCAUGAUAAGGUUUCUUUUUAAUCCACUCUCCUCUGAUAGUGAGAGGAGAAUAGAUAAGAGAAUGGAUACCAGUUUUAACGUGGCUCACUGCUUAACAAAGACUACAUGAACAAUUAGCUGAGGAACAAGCAAGAAUGGCUGUGAUUUAGCUGUUGAAUUGCUGCGAACUGGCUCUGAAAUAACUUAAAUUACUGUCGUUUUAGCUUCGGAUAUAACUAUAAUUAGCUGUGAAUUGACUGAGUUAGCUAUGGACUUUGCUGCAAAAUUGGUUUUCAAAUUAGCUGUGAAACUACCUGUCGAAACAGCGAGUUAACUAUGAAAUAAACUGCGAAUGGCUAUCGAGUUGGCUGUGAAUUAGCUUUGAAUUGGAUGCAUUUUGGCCAAAUAGCUCUCGUACUAGAAAGUUGGCUGCAAAAUUUGGACCGUAUAAAAUUAAGCGGUACUGAUUGACAGAACCAGGAAGCGCAACAAUUUUCAAGCAUCCAUGGAAGUUCUUUCUCCUCACAUGUAACUUUCUUCUUCUUCGUUCGCAGGCGGCAGGUCCCGUGUAUUUACUCUUGGAAGCUCUUUCACCUCACAGGUAACUUUCUUCCUAUUGUUCAUGAAUUUGGGAAAUUUCACCCCUUUCCUCACAUGCUCUUUAAUCACUGACCUUUUUCUUUAAUCCUUUACAGAGUCUAAAUUCUUAUUCUAUAAGGUCUGAUUCUUUUCUAAAUUCUUAUAUCCAACAUGCUAACAAUUUCAGUUGCAUAUAAAAUCUAUUCAUAAUUGAGAUUACUUCCCCAAUACUGUUAAUACGAAAUUUAGCUAGUAAUUGAAGUCUUGAAGAUACUUAUGAUCAAAUUUAACAGGACACAUUCUACAAUAUCAUUUUUAUUUGGUAUAUACAUGACAUGCAUAUGCAACAACUUCUACAUCAUAGUCAAAGUUCGGCCAUUAACAUUACUAAUUUUUUAAGGCUGAGUUUCAUCAUCUUUCAUUUCAUACAUAUAGCAAUACAAUGCUUAAGCUAAGAUGAAAACUCAAGAUGAAUCAUGUGCCUUGCAAACAGGUAAAUCUUCUAUGAAAUUGGGAGCAAUUCUGAGGAUGGGAUUUCUCUCAAAGAAAUUGGCUGGCUUCAGUUCGAAACUUGACGACACAGUUGGCAUGACAGGAUAGUCCUCUUGACAUGGUAUGUGAUGGAACCCUAUUGUGUACCACAACACAAUGUCUUUAUUCUCAAUUGGACGAUCCCUGCGUAAUAAUAUAACAACGAUUUGAGAAAUUUGACAAUAUAAUUGAUGUCUUCACAAGUCACAUUAGGCACUAAAAACAAUUUGCACACUAAAUUGGUUUAACUAAAUCCAAACUAUACCUCAAGGAAAUGGUAAAUAAAGAUUAAAUUCUAAAAAACUAUUGUGCAGCGGAAAACUAUUGAGCAGAACUUCGGAUUGUAGAGAGUAGAAUAUUUUUUUUCUUUAAGCAUAAGAUUCAUCAUACGUUAUCAAAUAUAGAAAGCUGUUGAGAAAAUAACUCCUAGAAGCAUUUUUCCUAAAACCACAUGAGUGCAGACUAUACUUCUAAAGUUUAGUUAUGAAAUGCCACAUCAGUUGUAUUGAAUUAAAGUUUUAUUGAAAAUGCUUUAGCAUUGUAAUUUUCUAUCAGUGUCAUAGUAGUUGAUUUCAUCUAAAGCAAUUUAUAUAAGUUAAAAAAGAAGCAGUAAGCGAGUGAGUAGUCUUUUUUUGUCCUACUUGCUUUAUUAUGUCUGUUGAAUAUCUGUUAGUAUUUAGUUUAUUAUUAGUCCUAUCUCAUUGAGAUAUAGUUAAUAUUUGUUUAUCUAUUUUAGAUUAGUAUCUAUUUAAAUAGAGAUGAUAUCUAUUUAAUUAGAGAUAGGUUUAGAGAGAUUUAGUUUCUUUCUAUUUCUUUAUUAGUCUAUAUAUAUUGUAGUCUUUAGUCAAGUAUUAUCAAUGAAAUAUACAAGUAAUAUUUUAUCAAAUUCAAGUAAUGUUGAGGAUUGAGUAUAUCAUUUACAUUUGUUGAUGAUUCUAUGACUGCCAUUUGUGUAUGUGAUUGUGAUUGUGAAUGAGAUGGGAAUAGCUAAUUUAGGAUAUAUAUGUAAGUAGGCAGUUACAGUGAGUUUAUACAGAUUUUAAGUAUCAAGCACAAGAGUCUAUGUGGUUGUUAUCUAUCUAUCUAUAUAUGUGUGUGUGUGUGUGUAUUUAGAGAGAGAAUCAUGAAAAGUAUCUCUUACCUGUUGGACCACACUUGAAGGUUAUCAUCGCCUCUACUCUGAUAAACAAAUAAGCCACCAGCCCAUUGCUCACUCUUGUUGUAAGGAGUGACCCAUAGUUGGUUGUUUGUAAAAGCUGCUCUCUUCUGUGGUGGAUCAUCAUGAUCUAGCAGACUAGCUGCUGUGGCACUGGGAACCAAUUUGAACCCAACAGGGUUUCCUACCCUUGUCUUCUUGGAUGGGUUGACCACAUGAAACUCAGAUGGAUCAUAGAGUUUAAACUUUAUUUGAGCAUCUUUCUCUGUCUUUGCAACAUUUUUCACAGCUUUUAGGUAGCUCUUUCUAGGUGAUUCUCCUGGAGAGGUCUCUUGCUUCUUGAUAUUUACAUUGACAAAUGAAUUCUCAGAGCCAUCAAUGUCCAUAUCAAGGUAGUAAGUGAUAAAGUGGUCAUGGAUUACACCAAUGAUGUUUUCACUCAAAAGGGUUCCAUAAAGAUAUUCUUGGUUAGAAAUUUGGUUCAUAUUGUCAUAAGUUGUUCCUUUCACCAUCAAGAUACCACUUAAUCCGA
rnacentral:lncRNA from 1 species